GUGGGGAAUUUUGGACAAUGGGCGCAAGCCUGAUCCAGCAAUGCCGCGUGCAGGAAGAAGGCCUUCGGGUUGUAAACUGCUUUUGUACGGAACGAAACGGUCCUGGUUAAUACCCGGGGCUAAUGACGGUACCGUAAGAAUAAGCACCGGCUAACUACGUGCCAGCAGCCGCGGUAAUACGUAGGGUGCAAGCGUUAAUCGGAAUUACUGGGCGUAAAGCGUGCACAGGCGGUGCUGUAAGACAGGCGUGAAAUCCCCGGGCUUAACCUGGGAAUUGCGCUUGUGACUGCAGUGCUGGAGUGCGGCAGAGGGGGAUGGAAUUCCGCGUGUAGCAGUGAAAUGCGUAGAUAUGCGGAGGAACACCGAUGGCGAAGGCAAUCCCCUGGGCCUGCACUGACGCUCAUGCACGAAAGCGUGGGGAGCAAACAGGAUUAGAAACCCGGGUAGUCC
rnacentral:rRNA from 1 species